GAUGAACGCUGGCGGCGUGCCUAACACAUGCAAGUCGAGCGAUCUUCUUCGGAAGAGAGCGGCGGACGGGUGAGUAACGCGUGGGUAACCUGCCCUGUACACACGGAUAACAUACCGAAAGGUAUGUGAAUACGAGAUAAUAUGCUUUUAUCGCAUGGUAGAAGUAUCAAAGCUCCGGCGGUACAGGAUGGACCCGCGUCUGAUUAGCUAGUUGGUAAGGUAACGGCUUACCAAGGCGACGAUCAGUAGCCGACCUGAGAGGGUGAUCGGCCACAUUGGAACUGAGACACGGUCCAAACUCCUACGGGAGGCAGCAGUGGGGAAUAUUGCACAAUGGGCGAAAGCCUGAUGCAGCAACGCCGCGUGAGCGAUGAAGGCCUUCGGGUCGUAAAGCUCUGUCCUCAAGGAAGAUAAUGACGGUACUUGAGGAGGAAGCCCCGGCUAACUACGUGCCAGCCGCCGCAGUAA
rnacentral:rRNA from 1 species